rnacentral:tRNA from 1 species
GUAGGGUUGUGGCUCAGUGGUAGAUUGCCUCCCUAGCAUGUAUGAGGCACUGGGUUCAAUCCUCAGCACUACA